UACGUAGGGGGCAGGCGUUGUUCGGAUUCAUUGGGCGUAAAGGGUGCGUAGGCGGCGCGGUAAGUCGGGUGUGAAAUCUCGGAGCUUAACUCCGAAACUGCAUUCGAUACUGCCGUGCUUGAGGACUGGAGAGGAGACUGGAAUUUACGGUGUAGCGGUGAAAUGCGUAGAUAUCGUAAGGAAGACCAGUGGCGAAGGCGGGUCUCUGGACAGUUCCUGACACUGAGGCACGAAGGCCAGGGGAGCAAACGGG
rnacentral:rRNA from 1 species